rnacentral:misc_RNA from 1 species
AAGGCUAGAAGAUUAUGACACCAUUAACUUGGGAGAGCAAUGCAGUGCGAUAAUUCAGAAGAAGUUAACUCCCAAACUCAAAGAUCGGAGUGUGUUUUCCAUUCCUUGUCAUAUAGGUGAUAAUUAUGUGGUAAAUGCCUUAUGUGACCUUGGAGCUAGUGUCAGCCUAAUGCCACUUUCAAUUUAUGAGAAGUUGAAUAUGGGAGAGUUGAAGCCCACAAACAUGUAUCUCUCAUUGGCUGACCGUUCAAUUAAG